AUUUGGGGAAGCUGAAGGAGGAAAGUGACUACUGGAGGCCAGGAAAAAGCUGUGUAAUGGUGUUUUGCCCUGCCAUCAAAACAGAGUGCAUAUGGAAGACAGAACUUGGAUGCUGGCAGACAAAUGAUUUGACACUUUUAAUUCAUUUGGGGUUUUUUCAUGCUGUUCAAACAGCACAGAGGAAAAAGUCACCAUUGAACCUGUUAUUUCCUAACCCUUAAAACAUUUAGUUGAUUUAUUUUUACCAUAAUAUGUUCUUUGUCCUUCAAAUAUAAAGAAAAAACUAUACACUCACCAAGCACUUUAUUAGAAAUGACGGUAAAUAAAGAAAAAGCAUCCAGUGAGCGGCAGCUCUGCGGACAGAAACGCCUUGUUGAUGAGAGAGGUCAAUGGAGAAUGGCCAGACUGGUUCGUGCUGACAGAAAGGCGACUCAGAUAACUCAGAUAAUCACUCUAUACAAUUGUGGUGAGCAGAAAAGCAUCUCAGGAUGCACAAUACAUCAAACCUUGAGGCGGAUGGGAUACAACUGGAGAAGACCACGUCAUCACAUGGCAUGCUGGGGUAUGCGAAGAAAAGAAUUUCACUGUUCUGUAAUGUAUAUGUGACCAAUAAAGACUUGUUAUCAUUAUCAAGUUCCACAUCUGUCAUCUGUCACUGAGGUUGCAGUGGGCACAGGCUCACCAAACCUGGAAAGUUGAGGACUAGAAAAAGCUAGCCUGGUCUGAUGACUCUCAUUUCUGUUGAGGCACACAGAUGGUCAGAAUUUGGCACCAGCAACAUGAAUCCAUGGACCCAACUGCCUUGUGUCAACAGUCCAGGCUGGUGGAGGUGGUGUAAUGGUGUGGGGAAUGCUUUCUUGGCACACUUUGGGGAUGUUAAUACCAAUCAAUCAACACUUGAAUGCCACAGUAUAUUUGAGUAUUAUUGCUGAUCACGUGCAUCUCUUUAUGGCCACAAUUUACCCAUGUUCUAAUUUCCAGCAUGAUAAUGCAACAUGGCACAAAGCAAAAGUCGUCUCCAACUGGUUUCAUGAACAGGACAACAUGACAGUGUUCUUCAGUGGCAUUCCCAGUCACCGGAUCUGAAUCUAGUAGAACACCUUUGGGAUGCAGUAGAAGAGAUUCACAGCCUGAAAGUGCACGGGAAAAUCUGCAGGAAUUGUGUGAUCCAAUCAUGUCAACAUGGACCAGAAUCUCAAAGGAAUUUUUCAAACAUCUUGUGGAAUCCAUGCCACGAAGAACUGAGGCCGUUUUGAGAGCAAAGGGAGGCCCUACCCAGUAUUAGUAUAGCGUUCCUAAUAAAGUGAUCAGUGAGUGUAUAUGACCAAUAAAGGGUUCUUAUCAUGGUCAAUGUAACUAGUCAGGCAAAGUACCUGAUAUAAAGUGCUCAGUACAGAGAAUGGAGGGUUUUGUUUAUUUUGUUAUAUUUGACACAAUUAAUCUAUUUCAUGUGAGAUUAAUAUCAUAUUUGUCCACAGCUCAACUUGAGAUGCUCAAGUUUGGAUUUAGAAAUGAGAUGCAGAUGGCUGGACAUCUGUCACUGUUUGGCUGUACGGCAUUCUUGCACACAAGCAGCAAAGGAACAUAAUCUCUUUUUUUAAACACACAAGAUGAAAACAUCUUUAAAAGUUGCAUUGGAAUUGUUAUGUCCAUUGGUGUCCCAUAAAGCACUGUUUUGGCACAACAUAUGUGUGGGAGGUUUAUGUAGAUGAUACCAAUGAUGCUUCAGGUUUGAUAGAUCCAUUAGAGUCAUGGAGAAGCUCAACUACAAGAGGAACACAAUUAAAAACAGUUCUAUUAUAUAUAUGAAAAAAACAGCAGCUGUAAAAUCACCUCUGUGUCAGUUAUCAGUGUGGAGUGCUGUUUAGUAUUUACUGUAUGAAUGCAAAAGCCUUCCAGUGUUCCACUUUGUUUCUCUGUUGAACAUUCGUUGCAUCACUCUAGUUAAAGCAAGAGCUGAUCAAGAGCAUUGUGAAAAUGACAAAUGGUUGUCAUAUGAACAAAACAAUAUAAAAGUUGAAGAAGAUGGAAAUAAAAGAUAGGAGAGAACGUGAAUGGCAUCUAAUCUGACAGACGCAUGGAGCAUAAACAAGCAUUUGAAAUAAUUACGGCUGAUUGAGCAUACAGUGAUGCUUAACAAGACAUCUGCUACUCUGGCAGACUCUUGUGUGUGUGUGUGUGUGUGUGUGUGUGUGUGUGUGUGUGUGUGUGUGUGUGUGUGUGUGUGUGUGCGUGUGUGUGUGUGUGAGUAUGUGCGCAAUAAUAGAAAUAUCUUAUAAUUUUGACUUUUUGCUUGUCCCUG
ensembl:lncRNA